rnacentral:rRNA from 1 species
UAGGGAAUCUUCGGCAAUGGACGAAAGUCUGACCGAGCAACGCCGCGUGAGUGAAGAAGGUUUUCGGAUCGUAAAACUCUGUUGGUAGAGAAGAACGUUGGCGAGAGUGGAAAGCUCAUCAAGUGACGGUAACUACCCAGAAAGGGACGGCUAACUACGUGCCGG